UACGUAGGGUGCGAGCGUUAAUCGGAUUUACUGGGCGUAAAGUGUGCGCAGGCGGCUUGGCAAGUCGAGUGUGAAAUCCCCGGGCUUAACUUGGGAAUUGCGCUCGAAACUGCCUGGCUUGAGUGUGGCAGAGGAAGGUGGAAUUCCACGUGUAGCGGUGAAAUGCGUAGAGAUGUGGAGGAACACCGAUGGCGAAGGCAGCCUUCUGGGACGUACCUGACGCUGAGGCGCGAAGGCUAGGGGAGCGAACGGG
rnacentral:rRNA from 1 species